rnacentral:rRNA from 1 species
UACAGAGGGUGCGAGCGUUGUCCGGAAUCACUGGGCGUAAAGGGCGCGUAGGCGGCCUACUAAGUCGGACGUGAAAUCCCUCGGCUCAACCGAGGAACUGCGUCCGAUACUGGCAGGCUGGAAUCCGGGAGAGGGAUGUGGAAUUCCAGGUGUAGCGGUGAAAUGCGUAGAUAUCUGGAGGAACACCGGUGGCGAAGGCGGCAUCCUGGACCGGUAUUGACGCUGAGGCGCGAAAGCUAGGGGAGCAAACGGGG